rnacentral:rRNA from 1 species
CACUGCCGAGAAAAGCCUCUAGAUAGAAAAUAGGUGCCCGUACCGCAAACCGACACAGGUAGUCAAGAUGAGAAUUCUAAGGUGAGCGAGCGAACUCUCGUUAAGGAACUCGGCAAAAUGACCCCGUAACUUCGGGAGAAGGGGUGCUCUUUAGGGUUAACGCCCAGAAGAGCCGCAGUGAAUAGGCCCAAGCGACUGUUUAUCAAAAACACAGGUCUCUGCUAAACCGUAAGGUGAUGUAUAGGGGCUGACGCCUGCCCGGUGCUGGAAGGUUAAGAGGAGUGGUUAGCUUCUGCGAAGCUACGAAUCGAAGCCCCAGUAAACGGCGGCCGUAACUAUAACGGUCCUAAGGUAGCGAAAUUCCUUGUCGGGUAAGUUCCGACCCGCACGAAAGGCGUAACGAUUUGGGCACUGUCUCAACGAGAGACUCGGUGAAAUCAUAGUACCUGUGAAGAUGCAGGUUACCCGCGACAGGACGGAAAGACCCCGUGGAGCUUUACUGUAGCCUGAUAUUGAAAUUCGGCACAGCUUGUACAGGAUAGGUAGGAGCCUUUGAAACGUGAGCGCUAGCUUACGUGGAGGCGCUGGUGGGAUACUACCCUAGCUGUGUUGGCUUUCUAACCCGCACCACUUAUCGUGGUGGGAGACAGUGUCAGGCGGGCAGUUUGACUGGGGCGGUCGCCUCCUAAAAGGUAACGGAGGCGCUCAAAGGUUCCCUCAGAAUGGUUGGAAAUCAUUCAUAGAGUGUAAAGGCAUAAGGGAGCUUGACUGCGAGACCUACAAGUCGAGCAGGGUCGAAAGACGGACUUAGUGAUCCGGUGGUUCCGCAUGGAAGGGCCAUCGCUCAACGGAUAAAAGCUACCCCGGGGAUAACAGGCUUAUCUCCC